UGGGUUGUGGCUCAGCAGUAGAGCACUCACCUAGCAUGUGAGGGGCCCUGUGUUCAAUCCUCAGCACCACAU
rnacentral:tRNA from 1 species